CUGAAAAUGUAAGAAGUGGAUGGACUUUGUUGAAUUCGCUCGAAAACAGCAUUGUGAAUGAUCCUGUGAUAGACGAACGCUGGGAAACGUUUAUGAGCAAUCAUGGCUCAACACCGCAAGAUUUUCAGGAGGUUUUGAGAAGAAAUAUUAGUAUGUUUCUAAGUGUGAGAAUACGUAACCCUUCAAACUAUUCAACGACGACUGAGUUGUCGGAGUCAAAGUGGUAUCAUUUGAAAUCUAACGCUUCUGGAAUAACUAUCUGCGAAAAUGACACUUUCCCAAACACGAAUUUGACCAUUUUGCAACUUUACAACAAAUAUUCCAAAAGUGUGUGGAAAAUACACAAAUAUGAUUAUUUUUAUACUACAAACAACACAACCCACAGUGUAAUAUACAGUAAUGGCAGUGACUGCAGCA